rnacentral:rRNA from 1 species
ACGAAGUAGAGGUCGAAGGCGAUCAGAUACCGCCCUAGUUCUAACCAUAAACGAUGCCAGCCAGCGAUCCGGCUGCGUUCCUCAAAUGACGCGCCGGNCAGCUUCCGGGAAACCAAAGCUUUUGGGUUCGGGGGAAGUAUGGUUGCAAAGCUGAAACUUAAAGGAAUUGACGGAAGGGCACCACAAGGAAUGGAGCAUGCGGCUUAAUUUGACUCAACACGGGGAAACUCACCCGGCCCGGACACAGGAAGGAUUGACAGAUUGAGAGCUCUUUCUUGAUUCUGUGAGUGGUGGUGCAUGGUCGUUCUUAGUUGGUGGAGCGAUUUGUCUGGUUUAUUCCGUUUAACGAACGAGACUCUAGCCUAUUAAAUAGUCGUUCCGAUCCUUCGAGUCGGACGGUCUUCUUAGAGGGACAAGCGGCGUCUAGCCGCAUGAAAAUGAGCAAUAACAGGUCUGUGAUGCCCUUCGCUGUCCGGGGCCGCACGCGCGCUACAUUGAAGGAAUCAGCGUGUGCUUUCCCUGUCCGACAGGACUGGGUAACCCGUUGAAACUCUUUCGUGCUGGGGAUAGAAACUUGUAAUUGUUUUUCUUGAACGAGGAAUUCCUAGUAAGCGCGAGUCAUCAGCUUGUGUUGAUUACGUCACUGCCCUUUGUGCACACCGCCCGUCACUACUACCGAUUGAAUGGUUUAGUGAGGUCUUCGGAUUGGCGCUCGGAUUGGCCUUCGGGUCGAGCCGACGUGCCGAAAAGAUGAUCGAACUUGACUAUUUAGAGGAAGUAAAAGUCGUAACAAGGUAAUCGUA